rnacentral:rRNA from 1 species
GACGUAGGGCGCGAGCGUUGUCCGGAUUUAUUGGGCGUAAAGAGCUCGUAGGCGGCUUGUCGCGUCGUCUGUGAAAACCCGCGGCUCAACGGCGGGCUUGCAGUCGAUGACGGGCAGGCGUGGAGUUCGGUGAGGGGAGACGUGGAAUUCCUGUGUGCGGUGAAAUGCGCAGAUAUCGGAAGGAACAUCAGUGGCGAAGGCGACUUCUGGACCAAUACUGACGCUCAGGUGCGAAAGCGUGGGGAGCAAACAGG